rnacentral:rRNA from 1 species
UACGUAGGGCGCAAGCGUUGUCCGGAAUUAUUGGGCGUAAAGAGCUCGUAGGCGGCCCGUCACGUCGACUGUGAAAACCCAGGGCUCAACCCUGGGCCUGCAGUCGAUACGGGCAGGCUAGAGUGUGGUAGGGGAGACUGGAAUUCCUGGUGUAGCGGUGAAAUGCGCAGAUAUCAGGAGGAACACCGGUGGCGAAGGCGGGUCUCUGGGCCAUAACUGACGCUGAGGAGCGAAAGCGUGGGGAGCGAACAGG